rnacentral:rRNA from 1 species
AUGAUAAUCCCGCUCUUAGUAUUGCUCUUGGCUUUCGUGCUUCGAUUGCAUCCGGUGGCUAGCACGGAAGAUUUGGCUACAUGCUCGCCCAAUGCAUGCGGCAACCUGAUCGUGGCUUACCCGUUUUGGUUGGAGGAUGAAGGUCAGCCGCCAUGCGGGUCCCCGUCCUUCCAGAUCAACUGCAACGGCGGCCAAGCAUUCCUCAGUCGCUCCUUGUUCGGGGGCUACCAGGUCCUUGAAAUCUUCACCGAGAACUCCUCAUUCAUCGCCGUGGACAACAACCUGCCGCUCGACGACGGCUGUCCGCCGUGGUGGUUCAAUAUCUCGCUGGGUCUCGGGCUGGGGCCGUACACCAUCAGCAAGAAGAACAGGGAGGUUGUCGUCCUCUACAACUGCACCAAGCAGCAGCAGCAGGUGGCGCCGCCGGGGUUCAGCCGCACGGGUUGCGCCGACGAGUCCUUCUACCGCCUUGGUGGGGCGUAUGGCGACCACCAGCGUGAACAAAGCGGGCUCCCUCCAUCGUGUCGUGUCGCAGUGGUUCCGGUCCUUGGUUUCGCUGAUGGCAGCGACUAUGUCCCCAGCAUGAGACAGGGGUUUCUUCUCGAGUGGUUGGUGGUGUCAGGCGAUUGCACCAAGUGCGUGACAAGCGGCGGGCAGUGCAGCUAUGCCAACGACGGCACCGGGUUUUCCUGCAAUUGCUCCGACGGCGUGCGACCAAUAGAUUGCGGUAGCAAGAGAGUUGGCACAAAGAUUCUCCUAAUAGCUUUGACAUCAGCAGCUGCAGCGCUACUCUUUGCAUGUAUUUAUGUGCUGAUAUGGUAUAUGACGGGGAAAAGGAACUGGUUUCUCCUCUCGAAAAAGAAUAGCAGCACCACUGAAAGGCAUUACGAGGCCAUGAUAAUAUCUUAUGGAUCCCUUGCUCCAAAGAGAUUCACUUACUCAGAAGUAAUGAAGAUAACGUCUUCUCGCAAUAAGCAGCUUGGUAAAGGUGGUUAUGGUGUGGUCUUCGAAGGAAAGCUACAUGAUGGUCGUCUUGUUGCUGUGAAAUUCUUGCAUGAUUGCAAAGGAAAUGGGGAAGAGUUUGUUAAUGAGGUUAUGAGCAUUGGUAGGACCUCUCAUGUGAAUAUUGUUAGCCUGUUUGGAUUUUGUUUGGAGGGAUCAAAACGAGCUCUUAUAUAUGAGUACAUGUGCAAUGGUUCUCUGGAUAGAUACAUUUACUCAGAGAAUCCAAAAGAAAUUUUAGGAUGGGAGAGGCUCUAUGCAAUAGCUACCGGGAUAGCUCGUGCACUGGAAUAUUUGCACCAUAGCUGUAAUACACGGAUCGUCCAUUUUGACAUUAAGCCUCAAAAUAUCCUUCUAGAUCAGGAUUUUUGCCCAAAAAUUGCUGAUUUUGGUCUUGCUAAACUGUGCGGUACCAAGGAGAGCAAGCUUUCAAUGGUUGGUGCUAGAGGAACAAUUGGAUUCAUUGCUCCAGAAGUUCACUCACGAAACUUCGGACUUGUUUCAACAAAGUCAGAUGUUUAUAGUUAUGGAAUGAUGUUGCUAGAGAUUGUUGGAGGAAGGAAAAAUGUGAAAUCAUUGGCAGAAAAAUCCAGCGAAAAGUAUUUCCCAGAUUGGAUUUAUGACCACUUUGCUCAAGAUGAUGGAUUAGAAGCAUGUGAAGUUACAAGUGACAUUGAGGAAAUUGCAAGAAAGAUGACCUUGAUUGGCUUGUGGUGCAUACAAGUAUUACCUGCGUAUCGCCCUACUAUAACAAAAGUUCUAGAAAUGUUUGACAGAAGCUUAGAUGAUAUGGCCAUGCCACCGAAGCAGAACUUCAAUGGACUACUCGAAAAUGCAGCUCAUAAUAUGAAUGUAGAAAGUGCAAGCUCUAUGACAUCCGAGGAGAUAAGGCUUGUGAAUUCAGGAAAUACACAACAAUUUCCAACUCUUUGA